rnacentral:tRNA from 1 species
GCGCUUUAGCCAGUACGCUAGGUCACGUGAGUACUGCUCUCCGAAGGCAGGGGUUGCUGGUUCGAUCCCAGCCGGGCGCGCCA